CCUACGGGAGGCAGCAGUGGGGAAUAUUGGACAAUGGGCGCAAGCCUGAUCCAGCCAUACCGCGUGUGUGAAGAAGGCCUUUUGGUUGUAAAGCACUUUAAGCGAGGAGGAGGCUCUUGAGGUUAAUACCCUUGAUGAGUGGACGUUACUCGCAGAAUAAGCACCGGCUAACUCUGUGCCAGCAGCCGCGGUAAUACAGAGGGUGCGAGCGUUAAUCGGAAUUACUGGGCGUAAAGCGCGCGUAGGCGGCUUGUUAAGUCGGAUGUGAAAUCCCCGGGCUCAACCUGGGCACUGCAUUCGAUACUGGCAAGCUAGAGUAUGGGAGAGGAAGGUAGAAUUCCAGGUGUAGCGGUGAAAUGCGUAGAGAUCUGGAGGAAUACCGAUGGCGAAGGCAGCCUUCUGGCCUAAUACUGACGCUGAGGUGCGAAAGCAUGGGGAGCAAACAGGAUUAGAUACCCUGGUAGUCCAUGCCGUAAACGAUGUCAACUAGCCGUUGGGGACCUUGAGUCUUUAGUGGCGCAGCUACGCGAGUAAGUUAGACCGCCGUCGGGAGGUACGGUCGCGAAGAACGUAAACGUACGAAGUAGUAAGUUAGACGGCGUUGGAGGACGUUGGCCGACGGACGACGACGAGGGGAGGAGG
rnacentral:rRNA from 1 species